rnacentral:rRNA from 1 species
UACGAAGGGGGCUAGCGUUGCUCGGAAUCACUGGGCGUAAAGGGUGCGUAGGCGGGGCUUUUAGUCAGGGGGGAAAUCCUGGAGCUCAACUCCAGAACUGCCUUUGAUACUGAAGAUCUUGAGUCCGGGAGAGGUGAGUGGAACUGCGAGUGUAGAGGUGAAAUUCGUAGAUAUUCGCAAGAACACCAGUGGCGAAGGCGGCUCACUGGCCCGGUACUGACGCUGAGGCACGAAAGCGUGGGGAGCAAACAGG